rnacentral:rRNA from 1 species
UGAUGUUAGCGGCGGACGGGUGAGUAACACGUGGGUAACCUGCCUGUAAGACUGGGAUAACUCCGGGAAACCGGGGCUAAUACCGGAUGCUUGUUUGAACCGCAUGGUUCAAACAUAAAAGGUGGCUUCGGCUACCACUUACAGAUGGACCCGCGGCGCAUUAGCUAGUUGGUGAGGUAAUGGCUCACCAAGGCAACGAUGCGUAGCCGACCUGAGAGGGUGAUCGGCCACACUGGGACUGAGACACGGCCCAGACUCCUACGGGAGGCAGCAGUAGGGAAUCUUCCGCAAUGGACGAAAGUCUGACGGAGCAACGCCGCGUGAGUGAUGAAGGUUUUCGGAUCGUAAAGCUCUGUUGUUAGGGAAGAACAAGUACCGUUCGAAUAGGGCGGUACCUUGACGGUACCUAACCAGAAAGCCACGGCUAACUACGUGCCAGCAGCCGCGGUAAUACGUAGGUGGCAAGCGUUGUCCGGAAUUAUUGGGCGUAAAGGGCUCGCAGGCGGUUCCUUAAGUCUGAUGUGAAAGCCCCCGGCUCAACCGGGGAGGGUCAUUGGAAACUGGGGAACUUGAGUGCAGAAGAGGAGAGUGGAAUUCCACGUGUAGCGGUGAAAUGCGUAGAGAUGUGGAGGAACACCAGUGGCGAAGGCGACUCUCUGGUCUGUAACUGACGCUGAGGAGCGAAAGCGUGGGGAGCGAACAGGAUUAGAUACCCUGGUAGUCCACGCCGUAAACGAUGAGUGCUAAGUGUUAGGGGGUUUCCGCCCCUUAGUGCUGCAGCUAACGCAUUAAGCACUCCGCCUGGG